GAGUUUGAUCUUGGCUCAGAUUGAACGCUGGCGGCAUGCCUUACACAUGCAAGUCGAACGGCAGCACGGGAGCUUGCUCCUGGUGGCGAGUGGCGAACGGGUGAGUAAUGCAUCGGAACGUAUCCUGGAGUGGGGGAUAACGUAGCGAAAGUUACGCUAAUACCGCAUAUUCUGUGAGCAGGAAAGCGGGGGACCUUCGGGCCUCGCGCUCUUGGAGCGGCCGAUGUCGGAUUAGCUAGUUGGUG
rnacentral:rRNA from 1 species